CGAGUUCUAUCGGGUAAAGC
rnacentral:sRNA from 1 species